UAGAAUAUACCGUCAGCCCACGCCGCUCUCAGCUCCAUCUCUAAAAUAAAAAUAUCAAAGAUUUGGCAACCGCCAGCAGCAACCAUUCUAAUUGCCUGUGCUACUUCUUCGGCCACCGCGAAGCAUGAAUGGAAAAUAACUUCAAAUUUGGAGACGAGACCCCUCACGCAAAAAAGUACCAUCAAGAUGCUACAAAAACUGGCAGAUGUAGAGCCACGUAUCGGAUUCAAAAUCCCCUGCUUUCUUUCUCUCUCUCUUCUUUCUCGGUGAACGAUUCGAUACUCAGCACAGCGGAGGGAGGGCGGAAAAAGAAAAGAAAGAAUAUGAGUGCAAUCGCGGUGGGCGUUAUCUGCAGAAGUACGACAAGUACGACGUCGACAAGCAUCGCGCCGGCGGCGGCUCCAGCGUCUCCGGCGACGGCUCCAGCGUCUCCGGCGACGAUGGCUUCUCUCGCCUCUUCGCCGCCGUCGAUGCCGACAUCGAAGCUGCCCUCCAGAAAUCGGCGAUGAGCGGCUGCCAUGAUCAUCGAGAUCCGGCGGACCAAAGCCCUGUUGCUCGAGGAAGUCCCAAAGUUGCGGAGAUUGGCCCUUAAGAAGAUAGAUUCAAUCAAUUUCAGAUGGGAGUAUGACUGCAACCAAACAAACUGGAAGUUGGACAGUUUCAGCUUGUUGAACAGAAACCAGAUUUGACUCGAUUUCAGAUGGAGUAUGACUGCAACCAAACAAACCAGAAGUUGAACAGCUUCAGCUUGUUGAACAGAAAUCAGAUUUGACUUGAUUUCAGGUAGCCACUUCUCGACUCAUUCAAGAUACAUGCAUCUAAAAUUUAUAUAUGAUGUCUAGAAAGAUGGAUGUUGGGGGUCAAGCGCCUGCAACUGGAUUUUACAUGGUUAAAGGACUAUUUUUCAUGACUCCAUUCAGUUUCCAGGUAGAAUCUUUAUGCUUAUAUUUCAUUUCUUUUUCUAAGUCGGGAAGUUUUUCAAAGGUGCAACUUUGCAAGAUAAUUUGUUGGUAGCCUCCAAUGUGAAGCAUAGCGGAACAGUUACCCUCAUUAGACUAUCUUAAGUAGCAUAUAUGGCUGGUUAAUAGCCAGGAUAAAGAGGUAAUAUUAAAUAGGAUCAUUAACUUCUUAUGGUAAAUUUGCCUCUAGGCAGAUCUCAGCCAUUAUAGGACUAUGAUCAGGUCAGAAAAUACUUCUGUUGAAAAUUGAAACAAGCUCCAGGAAAAUAUAGAGUGUCAUACAAGAUUAGGUAUAAUAGUACUUUUAACUAGGAAUAUAUUGCUAAAGAGUAAUGCCAUUUCACUACGAUUUAAUGUAACAAGUACCUUGUUCAUCUAACUUGAUUUUUUUUAUAUUAUUUUUUCAUAGGUGACUGUACACAUGCUGCAUAAAUUAUCAAACAAGAAAAAGGCAAUACAUGCAUCGCGAUGAUACUUAUGAUCAAAAACCUUGUUCCUACUUGGAUAUGUCAUCAUAAACUAACCAAUUAUUUUUCUUUAAGCAAGUAGGUUGAACAAAAGAAAGUCUCAGAUGUUUGUCAUAAAGAUGUCAUUCAUCAUUUUGAUGGCAAUAAACCCUCCAAACUAGAUCAUUAUUUGUUGCAGCAAUCAAGGAAUUCCAGGAAUAAGUCAUUGAUCUGAAGGCAUUAGCAUUCUUUUGUCACUCUUGCACUGCAAAAAAAGGAGGUGCAAAGGAGAUUAAAAAUUUUCUGUUAGCAUCAGUAGCUUUUACAUAAUGAACAAAAUUGUCAGGAAUUGUUUUUAAAUUUUAACUAUGUAUCUGGUGAUAAAGAUUAGUUUUUUAGUUUUUAUCAUGAUGUGAAUUAUAACUUGGCAGGAAAAAUGGCAUGAACUAGUAGAAAUCCAUGCCUAGAAAAUUUAAGAUAGGAGGACUGGUAAUCUUGUUGGAUGCCUUAUAGUAUCCUUGGUUCCAUUUCAGAGAGAUGAGAUUAAAAUCAUAUGCUUGUAGUAGAAGAUAUCCUUUCUGAGAAAAAUGGACAGGAGGGAAUACAUCAGAUAGGAAAGAAGGGGUAAUAGAGGAGGAGAGAAUGAAAAAGAAUGUAGAAUAAUUAGGAAAAUAACAAUGUGAAAGAGGGUACAAGUAAAACAAGAAAGAUGGAAGAUGAGAGUAUCAAAUCUUGGUUCUUGGUAAACAAGCAGAGACUUGAGUCAUGUCCAAGCUUCUAUUCAUUUCUUUAACCAAGUAAUUUUCAAGCUUGGCUUGUUAAAAGCUGACUUAAAAAAAUUAGCUUGUUUUUAGGUCUUUUACUAAUCUAACUAGCAUGAAUCACCUACUGAGCCAAGCUUGAUCUGUUCAGAAAUUGCUUGGUUCACUUGAGAACACAAUGGCUAUUUGGAACUUUUUGGAUGGGUAAUAAAUUAGUAAUUCUGGGGUAUCUCUUGUGCUCCUCUUUCAAAGUUGCAAGGGUUGCUUGUAACUUGCAUGCAAAAUCUAAGGAGUGGAAAAUAACAUCAACAGCUUUGUUAGAAUUAAACUAUUGGCCAUCAUUGUACACAUUCUAGGAUUGAGGGCAUGCAACCAUCAUUCUCAGAGCUCAAUGGGCAUUAUGCAAUUUAUGGACAAAUGCUUCUGCCCUUUCAUAAGGGCAGGCAUCUCGCCUUCUAUAUGACAAGAUUUGUCAUACUCAAGCUUUUUGCUUAAUUAAUUUAAUGAGCAGAAUCCUUACUGUUGAUCAAUGAAGAAUCGAGGCUUUAAAGGUCGUGAUAUUCACAUUCCUUGGAAGAUUGAUUAGAAGGCAUGAGCUGCUAGUUUUUUCAUGUUCAUAGGGUAAAGUUAUUUGGAUAUUUUGGCUAGUUACUUGGUUGCUAGACAGCUCCUUAGUGGAAAGAUGGAUUGGUUAUUUGCCUCUGUUAGCUUGUGGUAUUUUGGGGUUUAUAGGAACUAUUUUUUUCCUGAAUAGAAGAAUAUAGUUAUCCUUGAAAGAGUAACGGACUCUCUGUUUUCUGUGGUGUUGCAUGAUACUGGAUGCAUUCGAGUUUUUACCUCGGCCACCUUCCAGUGCUGGCUUAGAGAAAUUCAUCAACUGAGUUUUGCAUUUUGUGCUUCUCUCUCUCUCUCUCUCCCCUUCCUUUUGAUCACAUUGACAAUAAUGCUUAGCCAUAGUUACAUUUAUUAUUAUCUUUACAGUCUCAUAUCAGAUGGGUGAGGAGACAUUUGAAGUGGAUUCUAGAGGCUCGGGUUUGGUAGCAAAUGAAUGACAAAUUAUAUGGACGGGUCAUUUUGCACCUCCCUUUUGGCAGUUUCUAGAAUGUCAGUAGUUCAUUAUCCAGUUUCAUGAAUCUCGAGACCCUUAGCUUCUCAUUUCAAAAUUUUGGUCAAACAUCUGUUUUUCUUUGUUAUAAUUUGUUUGGAUUUUCUAGUGGCGAAGAUUAAAUUGUCCCUUAAAGAGAGCAUUGGACUGUUAAAGCAGUUUUGAAUAUUUUCGGUUAAAAUAUUAUAUAUCUCUUGAAAUUAAAUUGAUAAAACCUAAUUUGUCCCUUAAACAUCACAUUUUAGAAGAAUAAUUUAAUUUUUGAUUUGGGCCAUUUAAGAAUAACCGACCGAGAAGAUAUGAUAGAAAAUUGACUUAAGCAUGGAUUGUAGUCCAAAUUUCAGACCUUGCUUGGCUAGUAGAUUAUCAAAGAAUGUUCUAUUGAGGUGCCAUCAUUGUUCAAGAUCCCAGGCCUGUCUUCUUCCAUGAUGGCUGACGAAAUAAAACAUGUAUGCGAUAAGCUUGCUAGGAAAUAUUCAUGUUUCUGUGGAUUAUAUGGCUCUGAAUGAGGUUAAUUAUUCAUCCCUAAAUUUGUUGCAGAUGGAAGAUUUGAAAUUGAGUACUUUCAGCAUACUGAAGAAUCAAAUCAGUCUGGGCAAGAGUAUGAGAUGUGCAAAUUGG